AUGCCCGGCCCCCUCUGGGGACCUGGCAGUCGUGCACCAUGAGAAGGGGUGGGCAUAGAGGGCUAGUCAGGCUGGGGGGCUCUGUCUGAUGGACUCUGGCUGUCUGCCUUCCAGGGGAAUGAGAUCAACCUUCAGAAAAGGACUGAGGAAUACCGAGUCAUGAGGGAGAUCCUGCUGCUCCAGGUGGCUGCAAAGAAUUACAACCUAGAGCCCGAGGAGCGAUUUGGGGCCUGGUUCCAGGACAUGGAGCUGCUCAAUGAGAAUGAUAGCUACAGCCUGUCCUGCCAGCUAGGGCUCCAGGCCUAGUUGGCCAGCAGAAUACUCAAGGCCAAGAAGAACCGGCCAUCAUCAAGGUCAGGGGCAAAGAUUUGUGAUGCAGCUUUUAAGGCUACAUCUGAGCCUCCUUCCAUCAUGUCUAUGCUGCCUACACACUAGGCUCUCCAGCAUCCCUGCACGUACUUAUGUAAUGCUGUUUCAGGAGGAAAUGUCCUGGAGGCCCCAGCCUCUGUCAGGCCAUGAGAUGACCUGAAUGCAGAUGUAGUGGGAUUCAUCACCUCUGCGUCCUUCAGUCCUCGGUGGUGGUCCUAAUCUCUGCAGCCCCUCCAGGAAUGCGGUAUUUCUCUUAUUUUACUAUUCUCCUAAGUAGAGGCAGUUCUAGUGGGUUCCAUUUGGCCUUCCCUACCGUAAUUGCCCUCACUCCACCGGUCAGGGAACCAGUCUCAUGAUUCUGCCAUUUGCUGAGUAUGUCAAUUACCACUAAGCAGUCUGGGACUGGGGGAAAAGCUAUAGGAUGGGCUCAGGGACCCACUGGACCCACUAUGAGACAGAUCUGGGCUAACCUACAUUGAUCACCUGAUCCUAUAAGCCCUACUCUGAUUCAUGGAGCACAGUGAUGUUUUGGGUCUCCUGGAAUUAGUGUGUCACUUCAGAGCCUGUAUUCAAUAAUCCCUAUAAUUCUGAUUAUUUCCUUUUCCCUAAUGUAUGGUCACCAUCACAAAAGGCUGUACAUCCUUUGGGGGAAGGUUGGGAAAAGAUUAACCGUUUUAAUUUUAAAUAGUAUAUCUAGAUCCUUACUCAAGGGAAUCAGCCUCCCCUUCACACCAGGGCUCCUGUAUCUGUCAAGUGGCUCAGGGGUGGGAAAUGAUUGAAGGGCCAUGACUGUUUCAGUGAUUCAAGUUAGGCUUCUGUUCACUUGAUCUAGAACUAUUCUUACACAGAUCAAGAAUUUCAUCGACUGCCUUCUCUUUCCCUCUACAGACACUCGGAUCAACUAGCUACCACCAUAGGUUUCUGUGAGUCAAAUGGAUUCUCAUUAUUGCCUUGACUCCACUAUCCAUUACAGAAACCAUAACCACAUUGUCUCUUGAGAUUCAGUGCCUCUGCUUGGUUUCUGCUGCCCCGGGAUCCAGGUGUCCUCACUGCAUAUCAAGAUCCCAGGUCACUGGCAGCAGUUCCACUGUAAUGUCUGCCCUAAAGAGGAGAGUGGCCACAGAGCUCUUCACGGACUCUGGGGCUGCCCUCAUGAAUUUAUUUCCACAGUAGUAGUGCAAGUGUGUCCUCUGGACCCUGUUGGGGUGGGUAGGCAUGUCUUACAUGAUAAAUACACUCUAACGUUCCAAUCACCUAAGCCUUGGAUACCUUCUUCUAUAGGAGACCAAGGAAGGUCAGCCUCACUUAGUGUAUUCCCAGCAACCAAUGACACUGCUGGAACUCUUUGUGCCCUCUCAAGACACAGCAAAGAGUAGAGAAUCUCUGCUUAGUGGGCCCAUAUCAAUAAAUUAGACCGGAUCCAACUUUAUGUUCCUUCCACCAUUAUCCAAACCCCUUAAUAGCCAUUUGCACACAGUUUUCCUAGAUUUGUUUCUGUAUACACUGGGGAAAGGAUGCAGCUAUUUUGGAACGUAGCACAACUCCUCAUGGGUCAUAUUUUACACUUCAGUCUCUGGGACAUGCUGGGAAUUGAGGCUACUAGGUCUAGUAGCAAAUGGGGCUGGUGGGUGUAGGUCCUCAGGAGAAUCAGCAGUACUUGCAAGGCAGCUUCCUGGGGGAGACCAUUACAGAGUCCUUAGGAAAAGCAGAGUUCACCCCCUCACGCAGGGCUGGGAGGGCUUCUUCGUUGGCAAAGAAGACUGUACAAUCUUAUAAUCAUUUUUAUUCCCAUAGAGUCGGUAGUAAUAUCCAACUUUCAUUUCUGAUUAUAAUAAUUUUAUCCA